UGCCCCGUGGGGUAAGUGGCAGCCCGCAGGAUUUUGGUUCCUGAAGUUCUGGUUCGAAUCCAGGCGGGGCAG
rnacentral:tRNA from 1 species